UACAGAGGGGGCAAGCGUUAUUCGGAAUUAUUGGGCGUAAAGGGCGCGUAGGCGGCUUAUCAAGUCAGGGGUGAAAUCUUUCGGCUCAACCGGAAAAGUGCCUUUGAUACUGAUAGGCUCGAGGGAGGUAGGGGUAUGUGGAACUUCCGGUGGAGCGGUGAAAUGCGUUGAUAUCGGAAGGAACGCCGGUGGCGAAAGCGACGUACUGGACCUCUUCUGACGCUGAGGCGCGAAAGCUAGGGGAGCAAACGGG
rnacentral:rRNA from 1 species